GGAGGACUGGCGGUAGGAGCCAAGGUUAUCUCUUUGGAUAUCUGUCUCUACCUGAGGUCUUCUGAAGAUAUCCAUCUUUGAUUUCCCUUUGGAGGUUGUGGAGUGCUGUUGCUUCUCUGUCUGCUGAGGAUCAGUGGAAGCUGUGGGCCCAGAAAUACCUUCUGAAUAUCUCCAGAUGAGAGGGGAGGUGGAGGCAGUGGGCUGCAUCUGCAUCCUGCUAGUUCCUGGCCAGCUGUGAAGCCCUCAGUUGCUGCUGCCCUGUUACCACAUGUGGUGUCUGUGGCUGUGAGCUGUUUGAAAAUGACCUCCAACUAUGGCUGGAAGAUAAA